rnacentral:misc_RNA from 1 species
AACGCAUAUUGCACUCUUUUCUGAAGAGUAUGCCUGUUUGAGAAUCUAUAGUUUUCAUUUUCUAAAUUUUUUAGGGUUUAGAAAGAUGUGAGGUUUCUCUACCAAGAGUGCCUUGAAAUCUAUAGCUGGCUUUGUACGGCAGAAAAUAUUUGAAUGAACUCUGUUCUCUUUUAUGAUUAUGUUUGUACAUUGAAAAGCCAGUCCACCAAAGGUAUUUUGAAUACCGAUAGACUUUCGAGUCUGAACCAUGGUCUCAAAUCAGGUAGGAAGACCCGCUGAACUUAA